rnacentral:rRNA from 1 species
AGUGAACGCUGGCGGUAGGCCUAACACAUGCAAGUCGAACGGCAGCACAGUAAGAGCUUGCUCUUACGGGUGGCGAGUGGCGGACGGGUGAGGAAUACAUCGGAAUCUACUUUUUCGUGGGGGAUAACGUAGGGAAACUUACGCUAAUACCGCAUACGACCUACGGGUGAAAGCAGGGGAUCUUCGGACCUUGCGCGAUUGAAUGAGCCGAUGUCGGAUUAGCUAGUUGGCGGGGUAAAGGCCCACCAAGGCGACGAUCCAUAGCUGGUCUGAGAGGAUGAGUAGACACAUGGGAACUGAGAGGCGGUCGGGACCCCGACGGGAGGCACCAGGGGGGAGUAUUGAACAAGGGGCGCAAGCCUGAUCGAGCCAUACCGCGUGGGUGAAGAAGGCCUUCGGGUUCUAAAGCCCUUUUGUUGGUAAAGAAAAGCAGCAGGUGAAUACCCCGGGGUUCUGACGGUACCCAAAGAAGAAGCACCGGCUAACUUCGUG